UAUUGCCCUACAAUCCUGUAUUUUAUUAUGACUUUGGAUUUUUCUUUCCUUCUUUUUUACCUCUUUAAGAGGUCAUUUUUUAUGUUUCCUUUUGUUGUACAUGUGAAAUUUCUACUUCUUUCAUAUUAAUCAGCCUUCUUAUAGAAAGGGAAAAAAGAGGGGAGGAAUCAAUGAUACGGCUUCAUUGAGCUAUGUUACAAAGUGUCUCAAAUUUUAUUUUGGAUCAUAAUAGUAGAGAAUAUUAUAUUAGAUAUUUGUUUUGUUAAUAUUUCCUUAUAGAAAUAGAUGUACUUAUUGCAUAAAAAUAAAGAAAGGUGUUAAACAUUAUAGGUUUUGAGGAAAAGGUCUUAAGAUUGAGAUAAGUUUGUAAAGGCUAUUCUAGGUUUUUUGUGAUGUAUUUUUGUUGAAGGAGGUGACCAUGUGGAUGGCGAGUUGUCCCAAUUCAAAGGAAGAAUAGAGCGGAUUAAGAGGAAGCAUGAGUAGGAGCAACUAGCAGUAAUUUUCAGAGAACAAAUCCCUUAAAGAGAUUUUUUCAGUCCUUUCAAAUGGUGGUCCUUGAGGUCUAUUUAUGGGGAUUCCUUUUUAUAAGAUGCAACUAGAUGACACAACACAGACCUGUGAAAUGGUGCCGUGUAUACAUGGACUAACAGGGUGAUACGAUGUGUUUGUGGACUAAUAAUAUGCUGCCACUUGUGCACCUAAUAGAUUCAUUAGAGAAACAUACGAUGGUGAUAACUACAUGUAUCCCGCUGAAUGGUCGCCUUUUAAUUUAGUGUUUAAGGAGAUGGUUGUCCAUAAUCAAAUAGGUGGGAUAGGGUUUUUAUUGUUUUGAGGUUUAAGAAGAGGAAUAAGGUAUCUCCCUUUUAUUUUAGGGUUUAAGGAGAGGAAUAUGGGAUAAAAGCUUAAAGCACCAUAAAAUUGUAGAGAAAAAAAAUAAGAAGAUGAAGGAAUAGAUACCUUAGAUUCGCAUGCCUUCUAAGAGUUUUACCUAGAAGAAAACCAAUAGAGUUUCAUCAUUAAAAAUUACAAAAUAUGCACAAAAAAAAAAAACAUAAUAUUAUUAAGCAUCAAUUAAUACUUUGGUUUAUAUGAAUUAGCCUUAUUUAUAAGUUUUUCUAAAAAAUUGAAAGUUUACUAGGAUUCUAAGAACCUAUUAUGACUUUAAUUAUAAUUCUCUUAUAACCAAAUUAACUACUCCUAAUUUGACAUCGACAAAUACUAAUCCUAAUUUAAUUUCAACUAAUACUUAUGUCAAUCCUCACUCAUUCUAAUAUCUUUCACCUCUCAAAUAUUAGUUUCAAUUACAAUUAAUAAUUUAUCAUAAAAUAUUUUUUAAAAAAAAGUAUUCAAUUGUUAAGGAUGUUUACCUACACAAUAGUGGCACAAGGAGGAUGAAGGAAAGAUCUAAUAUUUAUUCAUUUAUUAAUAAUUAAUAAAAGUGGAUAAAGACUCUUUCCAUUUAGGGUAGGUGGGUGCUUGGUAGCAUAGCCAGUUGAAUUAGGUGGACCUGAAAACUUCUUGAUAUUUACUAAAAUAAACUAUUGGGGAAAACGUGAAUUUAAUUUAACCUUGAAAAAUAAAAUGAGGGUGAUAACAUGCUAUCCAAAAUUUUAGUAAAAGUAGGUGAUUUCUUUGAAAAGAAAAAUAGUUUGCUUUCAAAAGUUAAGAAGGAAGUGGAUUUUUGUCUUGGGGACAUGCCUAUUUUUGGGCGGUUUUAUAAAUAAAGCAAAAUAUCAUCUGAAUAGCAUUAAAGACAAUUCACUGAAUAAACAAAAGUAAUGCUACCAUUUGGUUUACAUUAAUGAUAUUAGGGUGGCCCAACUUUAAAUGUCUACCUUAAAGGGAAAAGGAAAAGAAAGAAGGGGUUAAGAAAUGAUUAAAUAUUUUAAGAAAGUUGAAUUCUUGGGAUCAUUGCAUGUCAAAGUGUCGAAGUGACAGGACUUUUUCUUUCUCUGUCGUUUGAAAUGAUAGAGACUCAUCAAAUGCUUCAGGCCUUUUAUGAAAAAA